rnacentral:rRNA from 1 species
UACGGGGGGGGCAAGCAUUGUUCGGAAUUACUGGGCGUAAAGGGCUCGUAGGCGGCCAACUAAGUCGGAUGUGAAAUCCCCAGGCUCAACCUGGGAACUGCAUCCGAUACUGGAUGGCUUGAAUUCGGGAGAGGGAUGCAGAAUUCCAGGUGUAGCGGUGAAAUGCGUAGAUAUCUGGAGGAAUACCGGUGGCGAAGGCGGCAUCCUGGACCGACAUUGACGCUGAGGAGCGAAAGCUAGGGGAGCAAACGGG